AACGAACGCUGGCGGCGCGCCUAAUACAUGCAAGUCGAGCGAGAAGACGUAGCAAUACGUUUGUAAAGCGGCGAGCGGGUGAGGAAUACAUGGGUAACCUACCCUCGAGUGGGGAAUAACUAGCCGAAAGGUUAGCUAAUACCGCGUACGCUCCUUGGACUUCGGCUCAGGGAGGAAAGCGAUACCGUGGGUAUCGCGCUCUUGGAUGGGCUCAUGUCCUAUCAGCUUGNGGUGAGGUAACGGCUCACCAAGGCUUCGACGGGUAGCUGGUCUGAGAGGACGAUCAGCCACACUGGCACUGCGACACGGGCCAGACUCCUACGGGAGGCAGCAGUAAGGAAUAUUGCGCAAUGGGCGAAAGCCUGACGCAGCGACGCCGCGUGGGGGAUGAAGGUCUUCGGAUUGUAAACCCCUUUCGGG
rnacentral:rRNA from 1 species